UCCAGCUCUCCUGCACCCAGUGACUAGUUCCUGCCAAAAGAAUGUGAUUAAGGAAGUUGCGCUGUACCUGAGAGCACCGAGAUAUAACAUAAGAAGCCAUCUUGGAAUUAAAGUUGUUGAAUGGAAAUGUGGCUUCAGCCUGGCUGUGUAUCACAUCCUUCUGGUUAGGGGCAUUGCUGCAGGAAUCUGUUUAUUCUCAAUUCAAGCCAAUAUGUACUGAUUGCUCUGACCUCCUCUCGUAAACAGGCAUUCUACUGGAACGUGUAAGAUAAUUUUUGCCAUCUGUCAUUUUCUUCUUCUUGAGAAAGGAGGAGAAUUACUGAGAAACAAGAAAAUGGUUUCUAGAAGAAAAUUCAGGACCUAGAAACAGUUAAUAUAAGUUGUAUCCUUGGGAAUUUCCAAGCAUACCAAAUGACUACCAGGCAAGAGAAUGUUAAGCUAUACCAGACAAUUUAAUCACCUGCAUCCAGGAUAUGAAAUCCAGAAGUUUCAAUACUAUUAGCAGACUCUGACCAUCAGAAUUUUUUUUUUUUUAUACAACUUACAUUUCUCUCAUGAGAGUUUAAGUCUGCUUCCUUGUCUUAUACUCAGGGAAGAUGAAAGGCAGGUAACAUAUCCUGUAAAAUAAUUAACUGUAAGGUUGUUAAGUUAUUCUCCUGCCUUUGCUAUUGCAGUUUAAGUAAACAGUAAAUUAGUUUAAACUUUUCCUACAUCAUUACUUUAGUUAAUGAAUUCUAUUUCUUAGAGCAGUUUUAGAUUGAUAGAAAAAUUAAACAUAGAAUGCAGACAUUUCCCAUCAUCAAUUUAUUUCUAUUUAACUAAAUGGUUAAAAACUCUUAUUCUUUUGAAAACGUCACUAAGGAAUUUAUGUUGUCAAACAAUAAAGCCAUAUUUACUGAUACUGCAUGUAAGGGUUAUGACAACACAAAAGAUGCUGGGAAAAUGGAUGAGCACCUUCAAAUAAUAGUGCAUAAUGAUGUUGGACUAGCUGACAACAUUAAAGUCUGCAAAGGUAAAGGUUAGAAGAGACCUAAUGGCUUCUUCCUCUUUUUUUUUUUUUUUUUUGGCAACGGAGUCUUGCUCUGUCGCCCAGGC
rnacentral:lncRNA from 10 species